UCCCCCGCCUCCUGGGCUCCAGGCCACCGGCUCCGCUGUUGGCUCCCGCGCGCCAGAGGCCGGCAACGCGGCGACACCUCCCGACGCCGGUCCGCAGCGGCUUUGGGCGCUGGCCGCAGGCGCCUCCGUUUCUCGGGCCUGGGAAAGAGCCGGGAGGGGAGGCUUCAGGGUCGUUCAAUAACCCCGCCCCCAGCUGCACCCUCCAAACCCGUCCCCGGGGUUUCACUCUGCUCCUCUGGGAAGAGUUAGCUCCCACCCACCUGAUGCCACAGCGGAGCUGGCGGGCUGGGGAGGAGCCCGGCCUGGGAGGCGUGGGCGCACCUGAGCCAGGGGUGCAGGGGAGAGGCAGGCUGCUCCGCAGAGACGGGGAUGAACUCCGCUCUCAGUAGCUGUCCACAUGCAGACUCCAGUGGAAGAGGAAAAUCAGAGGACGAUUCCACCCUGGAAUCCCAGCUCUGGCGUUUAUGGUGUUCCUCUCUCUUCCUCUUUGAAAUGGGACAACAACAGAAAGUCACUACCUGGACCCACCUGCUCCAUCCCUGGCGAACAGGAAACAAGAAAAGCAUAUUGAGACUUCCCUCCAGAAAGCUGAAAUUCGGGCACCCACCAUUCUCACCCCACCACCUACCUAAGUCAAGGUCUGCGGGGACACUGCCAUGUGGAAAGCAAGGAGAACUCAGCACUGGGCAUGGGAACUGCUGCCCCAGCCCAGCCCAGCUGUGUUGAUGAGCUGUGUGACCUGGGACAAGUCACUUUGCCUCCCUGAGCAGGAGAAAAUAAAGACCAGGCUCCCUGGCCCUGGCCGGGUAGCUCAGUUGGUUAGAGUAUCAUCCUGAUACGCCAAGGCUAUGGGUUGGAUCCCCAGUCAGGGCACAUACAAGAGGCAAUCAACGAAUGCAUGAAUGACUGGAACAACAAAUCAAUGUCUCUCUCUCUCUCUCU